rnacentral:rRNA from 1 species
UUUCUGGUUGAUCCUGCCAGACCUGACUGCUAUCGGAUUGAUACUAAGCCAUGCGAGUCGUUGUAGUAAUACAAGGCAUACGGCUCAGUAACGCGUAGUCAACCUAACCUAUGGACGGGAAUAACCUCGGGAAACUGAGUAUAAUGCCCGAUAGAACAUUAUGCCUGGAAUGGUUUAUGUUCCAAAUGAUUUAUCGCCGUAGGAUGGGACUGCGGCCUAUCAGUUUGUUGGUGAGGUAAUGGCCCACCAAGACUAUUACAGGUACGGGCUCUGAGAGGAGUAGCCCGGAGAUGGGUACUGAGACACGGACCCAGGCCCUAUGGGGCGCAGCAGGCGAGAAAACUUUGCAAUGUGCGAAAGCACGACAAGGUUAAUCCGAGUGGUUUCUGCUAAAGGAACCUUUUGUUAGUCCUAGAAACACUAACGAAUAAGGGGUGGGCAAGUUCUGGUGUCAGCCGCCGCGGUAAAACCAGCACCUCAAGUGGUCAGGAUGAUUAUUGGGCCUAAAGCAUCCGUAGCCGGAUCUGUAAGUUUUCGGUUAAAUCUGUACGCUCAACGUACAGGCUGCCGGGAAUACUGCAGAUCUAGGGAGUGGGAGAGGUAGACGGUACUCGGGAGGAAGGGGUAAAAUCCUUUGAUCUCUCGAUGACCACCUGUGGCGAAGGCGGUCUACCAGAACACGUCCGACGGUGAGGGAUGAAAGCUGGGGGAGCAAACCGGAUUAGAUACCCGGGUAGUCCCAGCUGUAAACUAUGCAAACUCAGUGAUGCAUUGACUUGUGGUCAAUGCAGUGCUGCAGGGAAGCCGUUAAGUUUGCCGCCUGGGAAGUACGUACGCAAGUAUGAAACUUAAAGGAAUUGGCGGGGGAGCACCACAAGGGGUGAAGCCUGCGGUUCAA